UCACAUUAUAUAUUACAAUGUAAGUCAAAAACCUUCGUUUACUGCCAGCACAUUGUUUUAUAUGCGCAUGUUUGCGAUAUGAAAUGCACUGGAAGGCAAGGUGUGAUGUAAUGUGUGAUUUGUCAAGCUUGCUUGCCUAUGCCUGCAUCUCACAGUGUUCUUAAUAUGGUCAGACUUCCCAGUUGGAACGAAUCACAGUAAGAGAGAAAAGAAAGAGAGAACAUAAGGAAGAAAAGUGGGAGUCUCAGACAUCACGACCGCAGCUCUGAAGGUUAUUGUGUCACGCUGACCCUUGUACAGUCAAACCUUCUGAGCGUGUCUCAGCAUCUUCCUUGAUAGCAACACAAACAGAAGGCUAGAAUAAACUGGGCCUCAUUUUACACACUACAAAGAUUUUGCACACAGCGUUCACUGCCAAAAUGUCACAUUUCUGCACUUCAGGGAUACCCCAGGGAAGGACAAUGUGCUCCGAACACCACAUCUGCUCCCUUCCCAGAGUCACCAUCAGGCAGUAGUUAUGCAGAGAGUUACAGAUUUGAGGAGGUGUGGCGCAAUGAGACGGACAAGAUGGGUGUGGCAUCAGUGAUUAAGCAGGAAGUUUUAUUUACUGGAUCAGUUGUAUCACAGUGCUCACUGGUCACACUUCUUUGCAGUGGAUGGUGAAGAUCAAAGAUAUCAACACUGAUUAAUAUAGUUUUUCCUUGGCCAUGCACUGUAAUGUUCUGGCAUGUCUCUCUCUCUCUCUCUCAUUCUCUCUCUCUGUGUGUGUGUGUGUGUGUGUGUGUGUGUGUGUGUGUGUGUGUACUUGAACCGCCUGUGAGAUCAGAGUGAUCAACCAGAUUGGUUGUGAGUCAACCAGAAGGCCGUUCUGUUUUCUGUAAUGUGCAGUGAAGAAUAAAGCCACAGUAUAAAGCACUGGAGCUGAUGACACCUAUUACACACUUCUAGAGCUUUUGACUCUGACUCACUUUGCUGUAAUAUCCUCUCAAACAGUAGCAGAUGGUACAGACUCUUUCACUGCCUUCAGACAUGUUUGUAGGUGAGUGCUGGUGUCUAUAGUGUGUGUCUUUAAACACAUAAGUGUAGUGUUGUACGUAAGAGGACUUUCCCAACGCUAAUUAACCCCAGCUUGAUGCAGAUGUGUUUUUCUCUUGACUUUAGCACUAAAAAUGCUGAAAACCUUGAGAUGGAGACAUCCUCUUAUCUUUAACUUGUGAAGACAACACAACAUAAGAUUAAACAGUGAGAAAAAGUCAAAAUUAAAUGAAAUGUAAUUAUAUAUAAGAGGUGAAGUGAACAUUGAUUAUAUCGUUACAAUGGAACAUGUAAAUGUGUGGAAUAUAUUAGGCAGAAAGUGAACAGUCAGUUCUUGAAUUUCAUGUGUUGGAAGCAGGAAAAAUAGGCAAGUAAAAAGAUCUGAGUGACUUUGACAAAGGCCAAAUAAAAUAGGGAAAAUGAAAAGGACUGAGAUAAAUGCUGAGGUUUGGCAUACCUAUAAACUAAAUGCAAAGCUGAACUGAUGUCAAAGUGAGCUUCUGUCUCUAAAAAGUAUUAAAUGGCCAUAAAACCUUCUAAUACAGUUUUGUCUUGUGACAACAACUUAUUAAAGUGUUUAAAGUUAGGUUCAGGCUGCAGGAAAAUGUGGGCCAAAUCCAAUUUUUUUGGAUGAUAUGUGACUCAGAUCAUUUUAUUUUUCAUGCAGUGUGAAGAGCACAAACCACAUGGAAUCUGAUCUUUUUGAUUCUGAUUUGGGCUACUUCCAUAUGUGGUCCUAAAUCUAAAACAGGUCAGAUGUUUUGCAAUACGGCAUCAGUUUGAAUUUACGUCAUUCUAGAUCAACGUUCGUCAUGAUUUGGCACUGACGGGAGUCACUUCAAAGAUUUUACAUACCGGAAUCUUUGAUCACGCUGUGAAUAUGAUAUACAGUUGCAGACGUAGUCAGUGGAGAAGCAGUGAGGUGUUAAACUCAUAAGUAUUACAGUUACAGCUCUAUACGAGCUAAACAUUCAAAAAACUUUGCUCUCUCUUCAUCUUUGUUCACUUUAUCACCUGC
ensembl:lncRNA